rnacentral:rRNA from 1 species
GACGAACGCUGGCGGCGUGCCUAAUAUAUGCAAGUAGAACGCUGAAGGAGGAGCUUGCUUCUCUGGAUGAGUUGCGAACGGGUGAGUAACGCGUAGGUAACCUGCCUGGUAGCGGGGGAUAACUAUUGGAAACGAUAGCUAAUACCGCAUAACAGUAGAUAUCGCAUGAUAUCUACUUGAAAGGUGCAAUUGCAUCACUACCAGAUGGACCUGCGUUGUAUUAGCUAGUUGGUGAGGUAACGGCUCACCAAGGCGACGAUACAUAGCCGACCUGAGAGGGUGAUCGGCCACACUGGGACUGAGACACGGCCCAGACUCCUACGGGAGGCAGCAGUAGGGAAUCUUCGGCAAUGGACGGAAGUCUGACCGAGCAACGCCGCGUGAGUGAAGAAGGUUUUCGGAUCGUAAAGCUCUGUUGUAAGAGAAGAACGAGCGUGAGAGUGGAAAGUUCACAAUGUGACGGUAUCUUACCAGAAAGAGACGGCUAACUACGUG